rnacentral:rRNA from 1 species
CCUACGGGGGGCUGCAGUGGGGAAUAUUGGACAAUGGGGGCAACCCUGAUCCAGCCAUGCCGCGUGUGUGAAGAAGGCCCUCGGGUUGUAAAGCACUUUCAGUGAGGAAGAACGCCUGGUGGUUAAUACCCAUCAGGAAAGACAUCACUCACAGAAGAAGCAACGGCUAACUCCGUGCCAGCAGCCGCGGUAAUACGGAGGGUGCGAGCGUUAAUCGGAAUUACUGGGCGUAAAGCGCGCGUAGGUGGCUUGAUAAGCCGGUUGUGAAAGCCCCGGGCUCAACCUGGGAACGGCAUCCGGAACUGUCAAGCUAGAGUGCAGGAGAGGAAGGUAGAAUUCCCGGUGUAGCGGUGAAAUGCGUAGAGAUAGGGAGGAAUACCAGUGGCGAAGGCGGCCUUCUGGACUGACACUGACACUGAGGUGCGAAAGCGUGGGUAGCAAACAGGAUUAGAUACCCUAGUAGUC